AUGGAUGAAAAAGGAGUGGGUGUACGCCGACCCUAUAGAGCGGACCCCACCGCACACGCGCUGUGCAACAAUAAUAAUGAAACAAACAAAGGACACUGUGUCAGGUCAGCAUUCAGCAUUAAUAAAAUCAACACGGGAACCAAACUUCAAAAGUCAAUAACCCCAAAACCAUUCUUUUACCCAUUUCCGUUUCUCUCUUCUUUAUCAACCAAAACUAAACCGAACCACUUCUUCAUCAUCAUAUCGUCUUUGUUACUUCAAUCAUACACCGUCCAGAUCUUCUUCGCUUUAGUUUUUAAUCGGUUAGUUUGA